CACGUAGGGCGCAAGCGUUGUCCGGAAUUAUUGGGCGUAAAGAGCUCGUAGGCGGUCUGUUGCGUCCGCUGUGAAAACUCGGGGCUUAACCCCGAGCCUGCAGUGGAUACGGGCAGACUAGAGGUAGGUAGGGGAGAAUGGAAUUCCCGGUGUAGCGGUGAAAUGCGCAGAUAUCGGGAGGAACACCGGUGGCGAAGGCAGCUCGCUGGGACGUGACUGACGCUGAGACGCGAAAGCGUGGGGAGCAAACAGG
rnacentral:rRNA from 1 species